AUUUUUUUUUUUGUUUAAUUGUGUUGUUUGAUUGUUGAUUGUGGAGUUUUGUAUAUAGUUUAUUGUUAUGUUGCCUGAAUCUUGUGGUUCUAGUUUGCUUGUGGCUUUGCCUGAUGAUAUAUUUGCAAUUAUAUCAAGGUCUUUGCCACCAAGAGAUAUAUGUAAUCUUAGUUUAUGUUGUAAGAGUUUAUGUGCACUUGUGGCUUCUGAAAAGAUUUGGCUUACACAGUGUGAUGUGGUGGGAAUUCUUAGUAAUGGAGACCUUGUUGAAUGGAGAAAGGGGGUGUCUUCGUAUAAGGCGCUUUGCCGCUUUCUCAUUAGUGUUAAGCCAUUGAUUGGAAUUUGGGUUCAUCAGAACCCUGAGCUUGGCAAUGUGGUGUAUGUUAUGCCUGGUUUUGUUUCUGUUGUUGGCUGCCGGAUAAUACCUCAAGAGCUUGGUCCAUUAGGCAUUAAGGAUGGCCCCAUUUUGUGGGCGCCGGUGUUUGAAAUUGUCGGUGAUUUCAAUGGUGCUACAACGUUUUUUCUUCAUGGAAAGGAGAAGGGUUGUGAUUAUUUUUAUCCUGGUUCGGUGAAGGGUAUUGACCAGAGCUGUAAUGUAUUGUUGCUUGAGGUUCAGCCUAAGCAACAGAAUCAAAGGUGUAAAUUGUUGCAAAGUAAGAGCUUUGCUCAUUGUUCAGAGAAGGAGGUAUCGCAGAAGGUUUGUAGGUCAAAUAGUAACUUGUCGAGGUCACAGAGGGGAUUAGGACAGAGUGAGGCUGUGGUACCUUUCAGCAAGUUGGCUUUUAGUGAUAGAAGAAAGUUGCUUGAGGUUGUAACAGGCCAAGUUCGUCUGAAGGUCCCUGAUGCAGCAGGUGGGCCGCUAUUUCCUCAUUUUAGGGAUGAUAUGGAGAAUUUUGGAAAUGAUUUGGCUGUAUUGUUGGAACGAAGAAAACUGCUUCUGCGCAUGUACAAGCUUGGAGGAGACAACAUCAAUUGGAGGGCAGGUCCUGAACUUCCUUCAGAUCCUACUCAGAUAGAAUUGAGUGAGAUCAGAAAGAGUCUUGAUCGUCCAAGUGGUUUACAUGGUUCGCUCAAUGGGGAUCAUGGACACACACAUAGCAACAAGACGAAAACUAUUGGAGGGUAUUUUAAGGAUAGCAUUAGACAGAUUUUAGGGAAGUCUAGUUCAAUAAAUGGCAGUCGUGCAAUUUCAAAGAAUAGUUCUUCAGGAAGUGAGAAUAGGCAUGCGCAACUUCAUGAAUUUCUGAAGUUGGGAGAUACAAUAGGACUAAUAUUACAUGCCUCCACUAUAAGGUUAUCUUCAUAUCGAGCAUGGCCGAACAUGCAUGACAGUCGGUUUGCCCUUUACAAGUUGCCCAUGCAGGCACCAAGGGAAGACGAAGAGUAUGCUGGUCUAUGGGGAGGAACUUUUGGUUGGCCACCUGGGAGGCCUACUGAAGACAAGCCUGGAAAAGCUCUGUUCUUUCUUUUGCUAUCUUAUGAGGAGUCUCGCGGGCAAAGGAUUCUCAUUGCGACCAAAAUUUUGGAAGGCACCCACUAUGUUCUGCAUCCAAAUGGGUCAGCAAUGUUUAUAGUGAAUGUAGAUGAGCCCUCACUGGAUCCAUUUCCUUGGGAUAAUGAUGCAGAUUCCCUUCCAGUCAAUGUCAAGCAUGCUUUCAGCGGAGAAGGUAUAGCUAAUGGGUAUGGUUUUAGAUAUCCUGGCUCAAAGCCUGGUUCCCUCUUUGUAACUCAAAAUGGCAUACUCGCCUUCAUUUGGAAAGAAUCUAGAGCUGUCUUGACCUUGCAGAGGCUUAACUUGCCGGAACUUUUGAAGAAAGGUGAAAGAGUUCCUGCUCUACCUCCAAUUGCGAACUUCUCUUAUUUGACCAAGUCCUACUCAAAUGUUUUUGCUGGCUUCUCAAAUACAUCUACAUUUUUGUCUUCCCCAAGGUAAGACUUUUAGCUGUUAGCGAUGGGGAAACAAGAUAUUUUACAUGAUGAGGGAUAGCUUGGUUACAUCUUUUUAUGUGGAAGCAAGGAGAUAUAGGGAUCGAAGUCCUAGUGGAAGUAAGAGAUCUUUUCUUUGGAACAAAUUCAUAGGCCUCUAAUAUACAUAAGACUGGUUACUACAACCCUAGUAGGGCAUGCUUUUUAGGAAAAUGACUUGCAGCUUCAUAUAUUUCAUUUGACUCUAUGCAAUACCUUCAGUGACAGCACAGGGACCUCAUAAUACAUCCCUCAUCGGAUGACCUUGCUAUCCUUCUUCCAAGGCAAAACCAUAUGUAGACAUCUAUGAUCAGUAAAUUACAAUGCAAAGCAAAGCUUUGAUUAUUGCUGCACUGCCAUGUGAUAGCCUUACAUAAAGCUCGGCCUUCUAGCUGCUGCUGCUGCUGAUGGUUCAUAGAUCAAUUGCCCUGCACAUGACAGAAGAUUUCUUUUUCAUAGAAUACAUACAGUUGAGGUAAAUUUCAUUGUAUUUGUACAAGAUUUUCCAUGAGCUUUAGAUUCUUAUGGAAAUAAAUAUUAGGUAUAAGCAUCCGUGUUAUAAUUAUAAACGCCAGUGUGGUGUUUUAUUAGUGGAAAGAAAAUAAGAGAUCUUAUUGAAGUC